CCGUGUAACUCGUCGACGUUGAUAGGCCGGGUGUGUAAGCGCAGCGAUGCGUUGAGCUAACCGGUACUAAUGAACCGUGAGGCUUAACCUUACAACGCCGAAG
rnacentral:rRNA from 1 species